AUACGGAGGAUCCGAGCGUUAUCCGGAUUUAUUGGGUUUAAAGGGAGCGUAGGCGGACGCUUAAGUCAGUUGUGAAAGUUUGCGGCUCAACCGUAAAAUUGCAGUUGAUACUGGGUGUCUUGAGUACAGUAGAGGCAGGCGGAAUUCGUGGUGUAGCGGUGAAAUGCUUAGAUAUCACGAAGAACUCCGAUUGCGAAGGCAGCCUGCUGGACUGUAACUGACGCUGAUGCUCGAAAGUGUGGGUAUCAAACAGGAUUAGAUACCCUGGUAGUCCACACAGUAAACGAUGAAUACUCGCUGUUUGCGAUAUACAGUAAGCGGCCAAGCGAAAGCGUUAAGUAUUCCACCUGGGGAGUACGCCGGCAACGGUGAAACUCAAAGGAAUUGACGGGGGCCCGCACAAGCGGAGGAACAUGUGGUUUAAUUCGAUGAUACGCGAGGAACCUUACCCGGGCUUGAAUUGCAACUGAAUGAUGUGGAGACAUGUCAGCCGCAAGGCAGUUGUGAAGGUGCUGCAUGGUUGUCGUCAGCUCGUGCCGUGAGGUGUCGGCUUAAGUGCCAUAACGAGCGCAACCCUUAUCGAUAGUUACCCUCAGGUUAUGCUGGGGACUCUGUCGAGACUGCCGUCGUAAGAUGUGAGGAAGGUGGGGAUGACGUCAAAUCAGCACGGCCCUUACGUCCGGGGCUACACACGUGUUACAAUGGGGGGUACAGAAGGCAGCUACACGGCGACGUGAUGCUAAUCCCUAAAGCCUCUCUCAGUUCGGAUUGGAGUCUGCAACCCGACUCCAUGAAGCUGGAUUCGCUAGUAAUCGCGCAUCAGCCACGGCGCGGUGAAUACGUUCCCGGGCCUUGUACACACCGCCCGUCAAGCCAUGAAAGCCGGGGGUACCUGAAGUGCGUAACCGCGAGGAGCGCCCUAGGGUAAAACUGGUGAUUGGGGCU
rnacentral:rRNA from 1 species